rnacentral:tRNA from 1 species
CUCCGAGUGGCGUAGUCGGGUCAACGCGCGAGCCUGGGGGGCUCGAGAUCGCAGGUUCGAAUCCUGCUUCGGAGA